rnacentral:pre_miRNA from 1 species
UUACUACUCCCUCCGUCCGAAAAUACUUGUCAUAGAAAUGAAUGUAUCUAGAUGUAUUUUAGUUUUAGAUACAUUCAUUUUUAUCUAUUUAUGUGACAAGUAAUUUCGGACG